UGAGGAAUAUUGGUCAAUGGGCGAGAGCCUGAACCAGCCAUGUCGCGUGAAGGAAGAAUGUCCUAUGGAUUGUAAACUUCUUUUAUACAGGAAUAAAGUGUACUACGUGUAGUAUUUUGUAUGUACUGUAUGAAUAAGGAUCGGCUAACUCCGUGCCAGCAGCCGCGGUAAUACGGAGGAUCCGAGCGUUAUCCGGAUUUAUUGGGUUUAAAGGGUGCGUAGGCGGAAUAGCAAGUCAGUGGUGAAAGUUUGCAGCUUAACUGUAAAAUUGCCAUUGAAACUGCUGUUCUUGAGUACAGUAGAGGUAGGCGGAAUGUGUAGUGUAGCGGUGAAAUGCAUAGAUAUUACACAGAACACCGAUUGCGUAGGCAGCUUACUGGAGUGUAACUGACGCUGAGGCACGAUAGCGUGGGGAUCAAACAGG
rnacentral:rRNA from 1 species